rnacentral:lncRNA from 1 species
UGCAGGGUUCCUCCAUUUUGACAUGAGUAAAUUCUAGAUUAGGUAUUUGGCAGUUAACUCAUCUGGAUAUAUGGGAACAGAAGUGCCAGACACGUAGAUAAUAUUUGGAGAACAGGAGCAGACUUGGAACAUGCUGAAUGGAGGACAAGGAAAAUUAUACUUUGGUGAAGUCCAGUAAUUCAAGUGUUUGGCUAACAAUCAUCAAGGCCACAAAAACCCAGCCUCUGCUCUUGGCAGUAUCAGGAACUUCAUGGAAUACAUCACUUUCAAAUUGCAGCUGCAAAUGGUCUUGUUAAAGUUAUAAGAGAGAAUGGAAAAAACAAUGACG